UACGUAGGGUGCAAGCGUUGUCCGGAAUUAUUGGGCGUAAAGAGCUCGUAGGCGGUCUGUCGCGUCUGCUGUGAAAACUCGGGGCUUAACCCCGGGCCUGCAGUGGGUACGGGCAGACUAGAGUGCGGUAGGGGAGACUGGAAUUCCUGGUGUAGCGGUGAAAUGCGCAGAUAUCAGGAGGAACACCGGUGGCGAAGGCGGGUCUCUGGGCCGUAACUGACGCUGAGGGACGAAAGCUAGGGGAGCGAAUGGG
rnacentral:rRNA from 1 species